AUUCAGGAACAGCUUCUUCCACUCUGCCAUCUGAUUUCUAAAUGGACAUUGGACCCAUAAGCAUUGUCUCACUACUUUGUUUAUUUCUCCAAGUAGACUUUGUCUACUGUCUCAGUGCCUCUAUAAACACAAAAAGAUUCUGCAGAUGUUGGAAAUCCAGAGUAACAGACCCACAAAAUGCAGGAGGAACUCAGCAGGUCUGGCGGCAGUUGAUGUUCCGGACUGAGUGCCGUGGAAGUCCAUAGCGGGGGGUAUUCCCUUCUGCCGCCAGCGUGGGAUGACGAGUCUAUCGUGACCCUGAGGACUUAUGGAAACUGUGUGGUGGUUUCUUUUGAACUUACAGUCUUUUAACAUCUUUGGACUAUUUUUACCGUGCCCAUGGUCUUUUUAAAAAAAAUCAAAUUAUGGUAUUGUUUGCCCUGUUGUAACUAUGUGGUUUUGUGCAGGUCUUGUAGCUUUAGUUUUUGGUCUUGUUUGUCUGGUGGAUUUGGAGCUCCUUUCCGGGUAACGCGCUAAGACGGUAGCGCGAUAAUAAUACGCAGCACCCUCUCCGGACUCUGGAUUGGGCAUUGCCAAACGUUAUGUGGAUUUUCUGGUGUAGUCUGUUUUGUCAUAUGCUUUUGUGAUAUCAUUCUGGAGGGAUGUUGUCUCAUUUUUUAACUGCAUUGCAUUUGUGAUUUUUAAAUGACAAUAAACUGAAUCAGAAUCUGAAAUAUUAAGUUCAAAAAUACCAGGAAUGGUUGCUGAA